GAUGAACGCUGGCGGCGUGCCUAAUACAUGCGAGUCGAGCGAACAGACGAGGGGCUUGCUCCUCUGACGUUAGCGGCGGACGGGUGAGUAACACGUGGAUAACCUACCUAUAAGACUGGGAUAACUUCGGGAAACCGGAGCUAAUACCGGAUAAUAUAUUGAACCGCAUGGUUCAAUAGUGAAAGACGGUUUUGCUGUCACUUAUAGAUGGAUCCGCGCCGCAUUAGCUAGUUGGUAAGGUAACGGCUUACCAAGGCAACGAUGCGUAGCCGACCUGAGAGGGUGAUCGGCCACACUGGAACUGAGACACGGUCCAGACUCCUACGGGAGGCCGCAGUAGGGACUCUUCCGCAAUGGGCGAAAGCCUGACGGAGCAACGCCGCGUGAGUGAUGAAGGUCUUCGGAUCGUAAAACUCUGUUAUUAGGGAAGAACAAAUGUGUAAGUAACUAUGCCCGUCUUGACGGUACCUAAUCAGAAAGCCCCGGCUAACUACGUG
rnacentral:rRNA from 1 species